rnacentral:rRNA from 1 species
CCUACGGGCGCUGCAGUGGGGAAUAUUGGACAAUGGGCGAAAGCCUGAUCCAGCCAUGCCGCGUGUGUGAAGAAGGCCUUCGGGUUGUAAAGCACUUUCAGUGGGGAAGAAAGCCUUGGGGCUAAUACCCUCGAGAAAGGACAUCACCCACAGAAGAAGCACCGGCUAACUCCGUGCCAGCAGCCGCGGUAAUACGGAGGGUGCGAGCGUUAAUCGGAAUUACUGGGCGUAAAGCGCGCGUAGGCGGUCUGAUAAGCCGGUUGUGAAAGCCCCGGGCUCAACCUGGGAACGGCAUCCGGAACUGUCAGGCUAGAGUGCAGGAGAGGAAGGUAGAAUUCCCGGUGUAGCGGUGAAAUGCGUAGAGAUCGGGAGGAAUACCAGUGGCGAAGGCGGCCUUCUGGACUGACACUGACGCUGAGGUGCGAAAGCGUGGGUAGCAAACAGGAUUAGAUACCCGGGUAGUC